rnacentral:lncRNA from 1 species
UUUUUUUUCUUUUAAAUUUAGUUUCUGUAUCUUGUGCCUGGUAUCCGACGUUAGUUACAGAAUAAACAGUACUUUGCAAAGACUGACAGGGUCAGCUGCUCUGGGAAUGUGACCGGUGACCUCCCGGAUGGAUUAUCGUCCUGCAGGCUGCUUCCAAGUCAGUUGAAAGAUGCACAGACAGAUGAGAAGAUAAGCAUCAGAGGAAUUUUUCAGAAGAAGAGUCCCCAGCUACUGCUUGAGAGUUUACAGUUGCCAAAUCUGAUAAACAGACUCAGGUAGGGGAGCUGGGAAAACUAGAAAAUUCUGGGGACUGGUCUCUGCAUUU